AUGAAAAAGAUCCUGGCGUUAAAGUUUGAGCAGGAAGUGCAUAAAAAGGGACUUCAGUACCUGCAGGUUUUGCAUUUACCCAACGAAUUAAUCAAUAAGUGCUUUUCAAAAACCUACAUGGAAGUGAUGCAAACCCUAUGUGAAAACGCGGAGCUCGUUUUGCUGUUCAGUGGUAAGUGCACAGUUUUCCUAAUGACUGUUGAGGGGAAAAGCCAUGGUUUUAUCAGUUGCAUCUUUGUCAUAAUCUCCACUGUGCAUGAGUAAAAGGGGCAUUAUGGAGGUUUGACAGCCAAAACAUGUAUAGAAAUAAUAAAUUUCUUCUUCAUACGUUCUCCUGCAAUGCCCUGGUCCUGUAGAAUGAGCCCUGGCAUUUUUACUGUGAUUGCCUGUUUUUCUGUAAAAUCACAGAAAAAGAGAGAUGCUCGGGUCGAGCAGGCUGCUUCAUGCGCGUUCACGCUCAGGCAUCGCCCGUAGCAUUUGCUAUCCGUAGCUUUAGCAGCAGAGAGAGAGGCAGUGCCACUUUGUCGCUGUUCCUAACGCCUAGUGACAAAGCUAGCUACAUUUCUGA
rnacentral:lncRNA from 1 species